rnacentral:SRP_RNA from 1 species
CUCUCCUUGACGCCCCCCUCCUCUCCGGUUAUCAUCCCUCGUGCGACGGUGGGACGUUGAAGGUUGGGCCCUGCGCGACCAGAACUUCCCGAACCCCGCCAGGCCCGAAAGGGAGCACCGGUACGGAAUCAUUCUGGGGUGCCGCAGUCUCGCCUAACCGGAGUUUCGCCGUCGCGGGAAUCAUUGCGUGGAGCGUAGAGGGUGGAGCG